UUCCUUCCAAAAGUAUGCUUACCAAGGUAUAUGUAUUAGACUCCUUUUGUAACAAUGUACCACAACCUUCCAGUAACACUGAUCAUUAAUUAAUAUAGACUAAUCUAUGGUUGGCCAAAAAAAAAAAAGUUACAACCGGAAAAAAAAGAGAAAAAGGGUAGCAUAGAAAUUCUAUGCCCUCUUAGGUUAUAACUAAUAAUAAGUUCUGAAAUGUUGAGCCAGUAAAACCGCAGCCUCCUCGAGACUCUCUACCCUCACUCAGCCAAUUUUAACACUACAAUUCCCCAUUAAUCUCUGGUGAAAACAAACCGGCGUCGAAGAAAAGAUUCUCUUGCGAUGGCAAUGGCAGCGCGAGUUAGAUCCACGCUCCCUCUCCUCCGCAGAGCCCUUUGCUCUGAUUCAAGAUCCGCUCUUUUUCCCGCCCUCCUCUCCAAUCCUGAGUUGUCAAGGAAUUAUGACUGCCCCAGCCAAAGAGCAAAAAGUUAAGGUUAGUAAUCCUAUGAGAUUGUAGUUGUAUUUGUAUGUUCAAUAUUUGUUUCUGAGAUAGUGGUGAAUGUUCUAAAGUUUCAA